UGGGGAAUAUUGGACAAUGGGCGCAAGCCUGAUCCAGCCAUGCCGCGUGAGUGAUGAAGGCCCUAGGGUUGUAAAGCUCUUUCACCGGUGAAGAUAAUGACGGUAACCGGAGAAGAAGCCCCCGGCUAACUUCGUGCCAGCAGCCGCGGUAAUACGAAGGGGGCCUAGCAUUGUUCGGAUUUACUGGGCGUAAAGCGCACGUAGGCGGACUUUUAAGUCAGGGGUGAAAUCCCGGGGCUCAACCCCGGAACUGCCUUUGAUACUGGAAGUCUUGAGUAUGGUAGAGGUGAAUGGAAUUCCGAGUGUAGAGGUGAAAUUCGUAGAUAUUCGGAGGAACACCAGUGGCGAAGGCGGCUCACUGGACCAUUACUNACGCUGAGGUGC
rnacentral:rRNA from 1 species